rnacentral:tRNA from 1 species
GCCCAGGUGGAGGAACUGGUAGACUCGCUACCUUGAGGGGGUAGUGGCGAAAGUCGUGUGGGUUCAAAUCCCACCCUGGGCACCA